rnacentral:rRNA from 1 species
UCCGCUAGUAGUGGCGAGCGAACGCGGAAGAGGCCAAACCGGAGGUAGCAAUAUUUCCGGGGUUAGGACUGCAAUAUGUAACUUUAAUCUUUAACUGAAUGCUUUGGGAAGAGCAGCGAUACAGGGUGAUAGCCCCGUAAGUGAAAAGGAUUGAGUGCUAGCAGUAUCCAGAGUACCAGCGGACACGUGAAACCCGCUGGGAAGAUGGGGGGACCAUCCUCCAAGCCUAAAUACUACUCAGUGACCGAUAGUGGAGCAGUACCGUGAGGGAAAGGUGAAAAGUACCCCGGGAGGGGAGUGAAAAAGAACCUGAAACCUUGUGCCUACAAGCACCGAGAGCACGUUAAAGUGUGAUCGGGUACUUUUUGUAGAACGGUCCGGCGAGUUAAUAUUUGCAGCGAGGUUAAGGAACUGGAGUUCCGGAGCCGUAGCGAGAGCGAGUCUGAAUAGGGCGUAUGAAGUUGCAGGUAUUAGACCCGAAACCGGGUGACCUAUCCAUGAGCAGGCUGAAGCGGUGGUAAGACACCGUGGAGGGCCGCACCCACGUCUGUUGAAAAAGCCGGGGAUGACUUGUGGAUAGCGGAGAAAUUCCAAUCGAACUCGGAGAUAGCUGGUUCUCCCCGAAAUAGCUUUAGGGCUAGCGUUAUUUUAGAUUACCGGAGGUAAAGCACUGAAUGGUCUAGGGGCCGCGAGGUUACCAAAGCCUAUCAAACUCUGAAUGCCGGAUAAUUGAUGAAUAGCAGUCAGACUGUGUGAGAUAAGUCUCAUAGUCAAAAGGGAAACAGCCCAGAUCUACAGCUAAGGUCCCAAAUGAACACUAAGUGGAAAAUGAUGUGAAACUGCGAAGACAACCAGGAUGUUGGCUUAGAAGCAGCCACUCAUUCAAAGAGUGCGUAAUAGCUCACUGGUCGAGUGGUUUUGCGCAGAAAAUGUAACGGGGCUAAGUGUUCAACCGAAGCUUAGGCAUUGCAGUAAUGCAUUGGGUAGGGGAGCGUCGUAUGCGGGGCGAAGUCAGAGCGGAAGCACUGGUGGACUGCAUACGAGUGAGAAUGCCGGAAUAAGUAGCGAGAAUUAUGUGAGAAUCAUAAUGGCCGAAAAUCUAAGGUUUCUUGGGGAAGGUUCGUCCGCCCAAGGUUAGUCGGGAGCUAAGCUCAGGCCGAAAGGCGUAGGCGAUGCACAUACGGUAGAAAUUCCGUAACCACCGAACAUUUAAGCUAGAGGGACGCUUUCUUUAAGGUUAUCCCGGGCGAUGGUUGCCCCGGGCGUAAGGGACCGAAAUAUAGUAGGGAAGUAACUGGCGAGAGAGACGAGAAAAGCUCUAGUGUAUACUAAGGUGCCCGUACCGCAAACCGACACAGGUAGAUGGGAUGAGUAUUCUAAGGCCAACGGGAGAAGGGUUGUUAAGGAACUCGGCAAAUUGACCCCGUAACUUCGGGAUAAGGGGCGCCUGCGAGAGCAGGCCGCAGUGAAAAGGCCCAAGCGACUGUUUAGCAAAAACACAGCUCUCUGCUAAAUCGAAAGAUGACGUAUAGGGGGUGACGCCUGCCCGGUGCUGGAAGGUUAAGGGGAGUGCUUAGCGCAAGCGAAGGUGCGAACUUAAGCCCCAGUAAACGGCGGCCGUAACUAUAACGGUCCUAAGGUAGCGAAAUUCCUUGUCAGGUAAGUUCUGACCCGCACGAAUGGCGUAACGAUUUGGGCACUGUCUCAACAGCCCGCCCGGCGAAAUUGUAGUACCGGUGAAGAUGCCGGUUUCCCGCAACUAGACGGAAAGACCCCAUGGAGCUUCACUGUAGCUUGAUAUUGGAUCUCGGUAUUCCAUGUACAGGAUAGGUGGGAGGCUAGGAAGUAAGCGCGCCAGCGUUUAUGGAGCCAACCUUGGGAUACCACUCUUGGGAUAUUGGGAUUCUAACCUGCGACCAUGAAUCUGGUCGGGGGACACUGUCAGGUGGGCAGUUUGACUGGGGCGGUCGCCUCCAAAAGAGUAACGGAGGCGCUCAAAGGUUCGUUCAGCACGGAUGGAAAUCGUGCACUGAGUGUAAACGCAUAAACGAGCCUAACUGCGAGAAUGACGGUUCGAGCAGUAACGAAAGUUGGAGUUAGUGAUCCGGCGGUAUGUGAAUGGAAAUGCCGUCGCUCAACGGAUAAAAGCUACCCUGGGGAUAACAGGCUGAUCU